rnacentral:rRNA from 1 species
GCUGGAGGUAUCAGAAGUGCGAAUGCUGACAUAAGUAACGAUAAAGCGGGUGAAAAGCCCGCUCGCCGGAAGACCAAGGGUUCCUGUCCAACGUUAAUCGGGGCAGGGUGAGUCGACCCCUAAGGCGAGGCCGAAAGGCGUAGUCGAUGGGAAACAGGUUAAUAUUCCUGUACUUGGUGUUACUGCGAAGGGGGGACGGAGAAGGCUAUGUUGGCCGGGCGACGGUUGUCCCGGUUUAAGCGUGUAGGCUGGUUUUCCAGGCAAAUCCGGAAAAUCAAGGCUGAGGCGUGAUGACGAGGCACUACGGUGCUGAAGCAACAAAUGCCCUGCUUCCAGGAAAAGCCUCUAAGCAUCAGGUAACAUCAAAUCGUACCCCAAACCGACACAGGUGGUCAGGUAGAGAAUACCAAGGCGCUUGAGAGAACUCGGGUGAAGGAACUAGGCAAAAUGGUGCCGUAACUUCGGGAGAAGGCACGCUGAUAUGUAGGUGAAGUCCCUCGCGGAUGGAGCUGAAAUCAGUCGAAGAUACCAGCUGGCUGCAACUGUUUAUUAAAAACACAGCACUGUGCAAACACGAAAGUGGACGUAUACGGUGUGACGCCUGCCCGGUGCCGGAAGGUUAAUUGAUGGGGUCAGCGCAAGCGAAGCUCUUGAUCGAAGCCCCGGUAAACGGCGGCCGUAACUAUAACGGUCCUAAGGUAGCGAAAUUCCUUGUCGGGUAAGUUCCGACCUGCACGAAUGGCGUAAUGAUGGCCAGGCUGUCUCCACCCGAGACUCAGUGAAAUUGAACUCGCUGUGAAGAUGCAGUGUACCCGCGGCAAGACGGAAAGACCCCGUGAACCUUUACUAUAGCUUGACACUGAACAUUGAGCCUUGAUGUGUAGGAUAGGUGGGAGGCUUUGAAGUGUGGACGCCAGUCUGCAUGGAGCCGACCUUGAAAUACCACCCUUUAAUGUUUGAUGUUCUAACGUUGACCCGUAGAAGUGUGGACGCCAGUCUGCAUGGAGCCGACCUUGAAAUACCACCCUUUAAUGUUUGAUGUUCUAACGUUGACCCGUAAUCCGGGUUGCGGACAGUGUCUGGUGGGUAGUUUGACUGGGGCGGUCUCCUCCUAAAGAGUAACGGAGGAGCACGAAGGUUGGCUAAUCCUGGUCGGACAUCAGGAGGUUAGUGCAAUGGCAUAAGCCAGCUUGACUGCGAGCGUGACGGCGCGAGCAGGUGCGAAAGCAGGUCAUAGUGAUCCGGUGGUUCUGAAUGGAAGGGCCAUCGCUCAACGGAUAAAAGGUACUCCGGGGAUAACAGGCUGAUACCGCCCAAGAGUUCAUAUCGACGGCGGUGUUUGGCACCUCGAUGUCGGCUCAUCACAUCCUGGGGCUGAAGUAGGUCCCAAGGGUAUGGCUGUUCGCCAUUUAAAGUGGUACGCGAGCUGGGUUUAGAACGUCGUGAGACAGUUCGGUCCCUAUCUGCCGUGGGCGCUGGAGAACUGAGGGGGGCUGCUCCUAGUACGAGAGGACCGGAGUGGACGCAUCACUGGUGUUCGGGUUGUCAUGCCAAUGGCACUGCCCGGUAGCUAAAUGCGGAAGAGAUAAGUGCUGAAAGCAUCUAAGCACGAAACUUGCCCCGAGAUGAGUUCUCCCUGACUCCUUGAGAGUCCUGAAGGAACGUUGAAGACGACGACGUUGAUAGGCCGGGUGUGUAAGCGCAGCGAUGCGUUGAGCUAACCGGUACUAAUGAACCGUGAGGCUUAACCUUACAACGCCGAAG